GACGAACGCUGGCGGCGUGCUUAACACAUGCAAGUCGAACGGAAAGGCCCUGCUUUUGUGGCGUGCUCGAGUGGCGAACGGGUGAGUAACACGUGAGUAACCUGCCCUUGACUUUGGGAUAACUUCAGGAAACUGGGGCGAAUACCGGAUAGAAGCUCCUGCUGCAUGGUGGGUGUUGUAGAGUUUCGGCGGUUGGGGAUGGACUCGCGGCUUAUCAGCUUGUUGGUGGGGUAGUGGCUUACCAAGUCUUUGACGGGUAGCCGGCAUGAGAGGGUGACCGGCCACAUUGGGACUGAGAUACGGCCCAGACUCCUACGGGAGGCAGCAGUGGGGAAUAUUGCAGAAUGGGCGGAAGCCUGAUGUAGAAACGCCGCGUGCGGGAUGACGGCCUUCGGGUUGUAAACCGCUUUCGCCUGUGACGAAGCGUGAGUGAAGGUAAUGGGUAAAGAAGCACAGGCUAACUAAGUG
rnacentral:rRNA from 1 species